CGUUGGAAGUAUCACAGCACAGAGAAAACGCCAAGCGGAUGUCUGCGAUGGAUUAAAGUACUUUUCCAUCACUUGGCCUGAUUUCAGGACAUGUGCUCUAACUGUGCAUUACGGCUGCCGCAGGUAGCGCCAGAACGUCCUUCAUCUGCUGGAAGCAACCGCUGCUUGAAAGGGAUCAAGAUGACAGUGCUGUGAUUGUCAGGAUUCCUGUUUUGGUUUGUUUCAUGCGAUAAUUUCUUGUGGUGAUCAAGCAUAGGUGAGUGCAAGCGUUUUUUACCUCCUUACUUAAAGUUGAUGCCAAAAUGAGCUUUAUAGCAGGUACCUCAUUAGAGCAAUGUUAUAUGAAUAUUAUUAGUGAAACAGUCAAAAUAAUAAUAAUUGAUGUUUGCUUUGGAUGUUUUUUGCCGAAUUUAUUUAUUAAAUUAUCCCCCCUCCCUCCCUCCAAGUUGCUGUUUUC